rnacentral:rRNA from 1 species
ACGGGACGCCAUAGAGGGUGAGAGCCCCGUCUGGUUGGAUACCGAGCCUCUGUAAAGCUCCUUCGACGAGUCGAGUAGUUUGGGAAUGCUGCUCUAAAUGGGAGGUAUAUGUCUUCUAAAGCUAAAUAUUGGCCAGAGACCGAUAGCGCACAAGUAGAGUGAUCGAAAGAUGAAAAGCACUUUGAAAAGAGGGUUAAAUAGUACGUGAAAUUGUUGAAAGGGAAGCGCUCAUGACCAGACUUGGGCCCGGUGAAUCAUCCAGCGUUCUCGCUGGUGCACUUUGCCGGGCUCAGGCCAGCAUCAGUUUGCUCCGGGGGAUAAAGGCUUUGGGAAUGUGGCUCCUCCGGGAGUGUUAUAGCCCUUUGCAUAAUACCCUGGGGCGGACUGAGGUUCGCGCAUCUGCAAGGAUGCUGGCGUAAUGGUCAUCAGCGACCCGUCUUGAAACACGGACCAAGGAGUCGUCUUCGUAUGCGAGUGUUCGGGUGUAAAACCCCUACGCGUAAUGAAAGUGAACGCAGGUGAGAGCUUCGGCGCAUCAUCGACCGAUCCUGAUGUUCUCGGAUGGAUUUGAGUAAGAGCAUAC